AUUGAACGUUGGCGGCAUGCUUUACACAUGCAAGUCGAACGGCAGCGCGGGCUUCGGCCUGGCGGCGAGUGGCGAACGGGUGAGUAAUACAUCGGAACGUGCCCAGUAGUGGGGGAUAGCUCGGCGAAAGCCGGAUUAAUACCGCAUACGACCUGAGGGUGAAAGCGGGGGAUCUUCGGACCUCGCGCUAUUGGAGCGGCCGAUGGCAGAUUAGCUAGUUGGUGGGGUAAAGGCCUACCAAGGCGACGAUCUGUAGCUGGUCUGAGAGGACGACCAGCCACACUGGGACUGAGACACGGCCCAGACUCCUACGGGAGGCAGCAGUGGGGAAUUUUGGACAAUGGGCGAAAGCCUGAUCCAGCAAUGCCGCGUGUGUGAUGAAGGCCUUCGGGUUGUAAAGCACUUUUGGCGGGAACGAAAAGGACUGUGCCAAUACCACGGUUCGAUGACGGUACCCGCAGAAUAAGCACCGGCUAACUACGUG
rnacentral:rRNA from 1 species